UUCUAGAACUUUUCUUCUGAUAUGAGAUUCCCAAAGGGCAGGCGGAGGUAGCUCAGUGGGUAAAGGGUGCUUGCCACUAAGCCUGAUGACUUGAGUUCGAUCACCAGAGACCACAUGAUAAAAGGGGAGAACCAACUCCCCUAGGACUCCCAGGAGUUCUCUGACUCUUUUUCCCUCAGGAAGUCUGCACCAUACUUGGCCUUUUUUCUCUGGCCAAACUGGUCAUUGCUGGUGGCAGUAGGGAUCCUGACAACAUGAGGGUACUAUCAACACUGGGACUACGGAAGACAUGGGGGCGCUGUGAUACUAGGGGUACUGAAGAUGUGGGGACUCUGGGACAUGGUUUUGUAUCAGCAGUUCUUCAGGGUUUAGUAAUAGAGCUACAUGUUCCACAGAAAAGCAUGUCCCCUGUUGUCCUGGUUUUCUUCUGUUGCUAUGAUUUAAAAAAAAAGUGACCAAAAACAGCUUGGGGAGGAAAGACUUUAUUUCAGCCUAUACUUCCAGGUCAGUCUUCAUCAGUGAGGGAAUCGGGGCAGGAAUCUAAGCGGAAACCUCAGAGAAUGCGGAUUACCGACUCACGGCUUCAUGGUCCGCUACUACUUCACAGCGCAUGCGCAGUUGCCUAGGCAUUGCGCGGCCUGAAGUGGAUUGGGCCCUCCUGCCUCUUUCGUCAGUCAAGACAGUCUCUCACACAGAUGUGGCCGCAGACCAAUCUGACCUGAGCAGUUUCUCAAUUGAAGUUGGCUCUUCCCAGAAAACACUCCAGGUGUGUGUGCUCACUCUGGCUUCCAGGCCUUGGCUGUCUGCUAAUCAAUGGUUACAACGAAGAACUUAACAGAGUCUAUAGAGAAACCUUUAAGAGUUUAAAACGCUCACUCGUUAGCAGGUCUUAGAGAGACUUAACAUGGCGCGAGCAGGCAGAGCAUCUUCUCCAUCUCCUCCGACAUUCAGUCAGGACAGGUGUUUCACCGUUUCAGACUCACUGACAUGUUCCAGCUUUACCCGCCCUAACUCUUAUUUGGGGGCAGGCACCGCUGGCUAAAGUUCUUGUCUUUUUCCAAAAUGGUGAUAUGCUAAACAACCGUUUACAGCUUUACUACAAAUCUGCCAUGUUCUUACUACUGCCAAUUAAUACCACCCUGCUCCAUGGUGCUACACUUGGGGACAGGCUCUCAGCUCCCGAGUGUGGGUGAGGUUGAUUUGUAAGACAGGUCACCUGCCAGGACACUGAAGAGAC